AAAAAAACAGGAAAAACUUCAUUCAGAUUUGAGACUAGAAAUGACCAUUCUGAAGAAAUGUCAUGCUCUAAAGAGAGUAUUGUUUUCCUUGAAAAUGUCUCUCUAGUUAGCAACCAGAACAGACAACCUUCCACACCAAGUACAAGAAGCCUUAAGCAUUCUGGCUGAAAGCUUUGUUUUCUCUGUCUCAUGCUUCAGAGAAGACAAUUGAGAUCUUAUAGGUCAAGAACUAGGGCAGAGAAGGUUUUGGAGAAUUCAGAGUGCAUUAUGAGGAAAGUAGGACCUAAAUAAAACUGAGUGAGGAGCCCUGAAAUAUGGGAAAUCAUCAAAGUUUGAACAGAGGCACCCAUUACAAAGAAUUCUGUCACUCUACCAGGUUGCUUAGUGAACCCCUUCAACACAAGUUGGUGGGGAAGGAAGAAGGAGAGAAAUGGGGUAUCAUUCAUAAAAUGGGCUUUUCUAGAACCAUGUCUUGAUGUGUGAAGUGCCCAUAAGUUCUUGAUUGUCAAAGAAAGCCCAUUUGUCCAUCCUUUUGGCCUAGAUGACAAAUCUUUCAGCUUUGAACCCCAAAUCAAAUCUCAUCACCCUAGCCAGAGGCUGCUCUUAAGACAGGGAAUAUCUAAUGAUAAAUACUUAAAAAUUCAAUAAAGUCUUUUAAAGAUAGACUUUAUUUUUAGGGGUUUGGAACAAUCAUUUCCUUUACAGAGCCAGCAUCUACCUGAUUCUUUAAGCUACUGUGUUGAUUUUGUAACAUUUGAGUCUUGGGGCAGAUGUUAACAUCUCGUUUCUCCCUUCCACCUAUAAUAAUGGUAGAAGCUUUUCUAGAAUUCAAAUUAUAGGUCACUACUGGAGGUUUUCUUUAAUACUAUAUCUUCCCUGAAGAAAUUCUCUGCACCAACUCCCCCUGCCUCUCCCACUAACUCCUCCAUAGAAUAGCAGCAGUAGAAAGAGUCC
rnacentral:lncRNA from 1 species